rnacentral:rRNA from 1 species
UACGGAGGGGACUAGCGUUGUUCGGAAUUACUGGGCGUAAAGCGCACUAGGCGGAUUUGUAAGUCAGGGGGUGAAAGCCCUCAGCUCAACUGAGGAAGUGCGCCCGAAACUGCAGAGCUUGAGUGCCGGGAGAGGGUGGCGGAAUUCCCCAAAGUAGAGGUGAAAAUUCGUAGAUAUGGGGGAGGAACACCGGUGGCGAAGGCGGCCACCUGGACGGUAACUGACGCUGAGACGCGAAAGCGUGGGGAGCAAACAGG